UACGAAGGGGGCUAGCGUUGCUCGGAAUCAUUGGGCGUAAAGCGCGCGUAGGCGGUUACUUAAGUCGAAUGUGAAAGCCCUCGGCUUAACUGAGGAAGUGCAUCCGAAACUGAGUAGCUAGAGUACGAAAGAGGGUCGCGGAAUUCCCGGUGUAGAGGUGAAAUUCGUAGAUAUCGGGAGGAACACCGGUGGCGAAGGCGGCGACCUGGGUCGAGACUGACGCUGAGGCGCGAAAGCGUGGGGAGCAAACAGG
rnacentral:rRNA from 1 species